CCUACGGGGGGCAGCAGUGGGGAAUAUUGCACAAUGGGGGAAACCCUGAUGCAGCGACGCCGCGUGAGUGAAGAAGUAUUUCGGUAUGUAAAGCUCUAUCAGCAGGAACGAGACAAGACGGUACCUGACUAAGAAGCCCCGGCUAACUACGUGCCAGCAGCCGCGGUAAUACGUAGGGGGCAAGCGUUAUCCGGAAUCACUGGGUGUAAAGGGAGCGUAGACGGCUGUGCAAGCCUGAAGUGAAAGGCGGGGGCCCAACCCCUGGACUGCUUUGGGAACUGUACGGCUGGAGUGCAGGAGAGGUAAGUGGAAUUCCUAGUGUAGCGGUGAAAUGCGUAGAUAUCAGGAGGAACACCGGUGGCGAAGGCGGCCUGCUGGACUGCAACUGACGUUGAGGCCCGAAAGCGUGGGGAGCAAACAGGAUUAGAUACCCUUGUAGUC
rnacentral:rRNA from 1 species